rnacentral:rRNA from 1 species
UUAAAGUUGUUGUGGUUAAAAAGCUCGUAGUUGAACCUUGGGCCUGGCUGGCCGGUCCGCCUCACCGCGUGUACUGGUCCGGCCGGGCCUUUCCCUCUGUGGAACCCCAUGCCCUUCACUGGGCGUGGCGGGGAAACAGGACUUUUACUGUGAAAAAAUUAGAGUGCUCCAGGCAGGCCUAUGCUCGAAUACAUUAGCAUGGAAUAAUA